rnacentral:rRNA from 1 species
AGCCCAGAGCCUGAAUCAGUGUGUGUGUUAGUGGAAGCGUCUGGAAAGGCGCGCGAUACAGGGUGACAGCCCCGUACACAAAAAUGCACAUGCUGUGAGCUCGAUGAGUAGGGCGGGACACGUGGUAUCCUGUCUGAAUAUGGGGGGACCAUCCUCCAAGGCUAAAUACUCCUGACUGACCGAUAGUGAACCAGUACCGUGAGGGAAAGGCGAAAAGAACCCCGGCGAGGGGAGUGAAAAAGAACCUGAAACCGUGUACGUACAAGCAGUGGGAGCACAGAGCAAUCUGUGUGACUGCGUACCUUUUGUAUAAUGGGUCAGCGACUUAUAUUCUGUAGCAAGGUUAACCGAAUAGGGGAGCCGAAGGGAAACCGAGUCUUAAC